GAUGAACGCUGGCGGCGUGCCUAAUACAUGCAAGUCGAGCGAACGGACGAGAAGCUUGCUUCUCUGAUGUUAGCGGCGGACGGGUGAGUAACACGUGGAUAACCUACCUAUAAGACUGGGAUAACUUCGGGAAACCGGAGCUAAUACCGGAUAAUAUUUUGAACCGCAUGGUUCAAAAGUGAAAGACGGUCUUGCUGUCACUUAUAGAUGGAUCCGCGCUGCAUUAGCUAGUUGGUAAGGUAACGGCUUACCAAGGCAACGAUGCUUAGCCGACCUGAGAGGGUGAUCGGCCACACUGGAACUGAGACACGGUCCAGACUCCUACGGGAGGCAGCAGUAGGGAAUCUUCCGCAAUGGGCGAAAGCCUGACGGAGCAACGGCGCGUGAGUGAUGAAGGUCUUCGGAUCGUAAAACUCUGUUAUUAGGGAAGAACAUAUGUGUAAGUAACUGUGCACAUCUUGACGGUACCUAAUCAGAAAGCCACGGCUAACUACGUG
rnacentral:rRNA from 1 species